rnacentral:rRNA from 1 species
AACGAACGCUGGCGGCAUGCCUAACACAUGCAAGUCGAACGAGACCUUCGGGUCUAGUGGCGCACGGGUGCGUAACGCGUGGGAACCUGCCUUUAGGUUCGGAAUAACUCAGAGAAAUUUGAGCUAAUACCGGAUGAUGUCUUCGGACCAAAGAUUUAUCGCCUUUAGAUGGGCCCGCGUUGGAUUAGCUAGUUGGUGGGGUAAAGGCCUACCAAGGCGACGAUCCAUAGCUGGUCUGAGAGGAUGAUCAGCCACACUGGGACUGAGACACGGCCCAGACUCCUACGGGAGGCAGCAGGGGGGAAUAUUGGACAAUGGGCGAAAGCCUGAUCAAGCAAGGCCGCGUGAGUGAUGAAGGCCUUAGGGUUGUAAAGCUCUUUUACCCGAGAUGAUAAUGACAGUAUCGGGAGAAUAAGCUCCGGCUAACUCCGUG